rnacentral:lncRNA from 1 species
AAAGAAAAUCAGAAACCGGGAGUCAAAAUGCAAUUUAGAAAAGUUGUGCCACGUCAGCAGCCACAUCAACGGUCCGAUCAGCAGUCCCGACCAACCAGGACACGACGCGUGGCAAGGAAACGCUGACCAUGGGAUGGGCCACGUGGGCGAUCCGCGUGCGUGCGAUCGGACGGCCCAGAUCCAUUCCCGCACGAACUGACGGUCCAGAUUUAAUGCCAAUUAAAUCGCGAUCGGACGGUCCAGAUUUAAUCUUGAUGGACGGUUGAGAUUAAAAGACAAAGAGUAUAA